UUGUGGCAGUGUAAGUGUGUGGUGAGGGCACACCACUGAAGACAUUGAGGAUAUACCACGAGGAAGAGACAAAACUGUUGAAGAAAGGAGUCACUGGCUCCACCUGACCACCUUGGGCCACAUUCACCAAGGUAAUACGGCUUCCAGUCUCUGCUCGGCUACCAAGGACGAUAGCAAACACAACUUCUGCCCAUUAAUGAUGG